rnacentral:rRNA from 1 species
CCUACGGGUGGCAGCAGUGAGGAAUAUUGGUCAAUGGACGAGAGUCUGAACCAGCCAAGUAGCGUGAAGGAUGACUGCCCUAUGGGUUGUAAACUUCUUUUAUAAAGGAAUAAAACGAGGCACGUGUGCCUUUUUGCAUGUACUUUAUGAAUAAGGAUCGGCUAACUCCGUGCCAGCAGCCGCGGUAAUACGGAGAAUCCGAGCGUUAUCCGGAUUUAUUGGGUUUAAAGGGAGCGUAGAUGGGUUGUUAAGUUAGUUGUGAAAGGUUGCGGUUCAACCGUAAAAUUGCAAUUGAUACUGGCAGUCUUGAGUACAGUUGAGGUAGGCGGAAUUCGUGGUGUAGCGGUGAAAUGCUUAGAUAUCACGAAGAACCCCGAUUGCGAAGGCAGCUUACUAAACUGUGACUGACAUUGAUGCUCGAAAGUGUGGGUAUCAAACAGGAUUAGAUACCCCGGUAGUC